rnacentral:rRNA from 1 species
ACGGAAUAGAUACCCGGGUAGUCCACGCCCUAAACGAUGUCAACUGGUUGUUGGGAAUUCAUUUUCUCAGUAAACGAAAGCUAAACGCGUGAAAGUUGACCGCCUGGGGAGUACGGCCGCAAGGCUAAAACUCAAAGGAAUUGACGGGGACCCGCACAAGCGGUGGAUGAUGUGGUUUAAUUCGAUGCAACGCGAAAAAACCUUACCCACCUUUGACAUGUACGGAACUUGCCAGAGAUGGCUUGGUGCCCGAAAGGGAGCCGUAACACAGGUGCUGCAUGGCUGUCGUCAGCUCGUGUCGUGAGAUGUUGGGUUAAGUCCCGCAACGAGCGCAACCCUUGCCAUUAGUUGCUACGAAAGGGCACUCUAAUGGGACUGCCGGUGACAAACCGGGAGGAAGGUGGGGAUGACGUCAAGUCCUCAUGGCCCUUAUAGGUGGGGCUACACACGUCAUACAAUGGCUGGUACAGAGGGUUGCCAACCCGGCGAGGGGGUAGCUAAUCCCACAAAGCCAGUCGUAGUCCGGAUCGCAGUCUGCAACUCGACUGCGUGAAGUC